CCUACGGGGAGCUGCAGUGAGGAAUAUUGGUCAAUGGACGAGAGUCUGAACCAGCCAAGUAGCGUGAAGGAUGACUGCCCUAUGGGUUGUAAACUUCUUUUAUAUGGGAAUAAAAUGUUCCACGUGUGGGAUUUUGUAUGUACCAUAUGAAUAAGGAUCGGCUAACUCCGUGCCAGCAGCCGCGGUAAUACGGAGGAUCCGAGCGUUAUCCGGAUUUAUUGGGUUUAAAGGGAGCGUAGGUGGAUUGUUAAGUCAGUUGUGAAAGUUUGCGGCUCAACCGUAAAAUUGCAGUUGAAACUGGCAGUCUUGAGUACAGUAGAGGUGGGCGGAAUUCGUGGUGUAGCGGUGAAAUGCUUAGAGAGCACGAAGAACUCCGAUUGCGAAGGCAGUUCACUGGACUGCAACUGACACUGAGGCUCGAAAGUGUGGGUAUCAAACAGGAGUAGAUACCCGUGUAGUC
rnacentral:rRNA from 1 species